GGCUCCAUAGUAUAAUGGUUAGCACGUCUGCUUUACACGCAGAAGGUCCUCGGUUCGCGCCCCAGGUGGAGCCA
rnacentral:tRNA from 1 species